ensembl:lncRNA
AGGGCGAGGGGUCGGACGGGGGGAGCCGGCCGCCGCCGUCGCAUUCCAGCGGGACUAUUUCCCGCGUUGUUUCGCACGCACGCCUCCGCCGCCUUUUUGGGUGCGAUGCGGUUGUCGGAGCAACACCGGCCCGGGAGGGACGGGACUACUUUCAGUCACAGAGCGGUGGCGGCUGCACAAAGGCGGCCGCUCCCCUUCGCCCGCAGGUGAGGGCUGCCCGGCCGCGCUCCCCCUCCGUCCCUUUCGGCCGCUGCACGGCGGCGGUUCCCGAGUGAAGGGCGGGCUGCGGCGCCACAGCCUUUCCACGGGAGUUUCUGCGGAGCUGCCCCGUGGGCAAAGCUACUUCAGUAUUUCUGCGAGGAACGUCACAUCUCACGGGGCAUCCCUCCUCUCCUCCCGCAACGUGACAGCUGUUCCGAGGGAUGAGGCUGCGAGGCAGAGCGACUUAAAGCAAAAUUUGAGAUCCUCGCGUGCAGAAAAGAUGCUGCCUGGUGUCCAGGAUGAGAACUGCAUUUCUUUGUGGCUGAAAAAAUCCUUACAACAAAAACUUCACAGAGAAGGUCCUGGAGUUCAGCAGAGCAUAGGGGUAAGCUAGUCCAACAGGAUUCCAGCGAUAACCUGAAGGGGAAAUAUAAAAUAGAUGACCCUAUAGGCUUGGGCUUUUUCUUUAUACCUUUCCAGGAGAGUUUGGACUCCUGCUGAUGGUGUAUCCAAGAUCAGGCUGUUUAUCUACUGCUUCUUUUCUCCUCUUCCAUCUCCCAGGGAGUUGAAAACAACACUGCCUCAGGAUAUGCUUCUUCAGCUGUAGUACUUUCAGCGUGAACUGUAUAGGAUUCUGAUUUUAAUUUGGCACUGCCCACCAGGCCACAGGGCAAGUCCAGUACUUUCCUUAUGAAAGCCACAUAGCCGUGGCUGUAUUUCAAAGCUAAAUUAUAAAAAGUCAUUUUAGAAAGUUUGAGUGCUAAAAUUUGUAAAGACCUGUAAUGCUAGGUUGAUACAGCUAAAACAUCCUUUCAAAAGAGAUUUCAUUUCAGACUGACAGAUACCAAAACACUAUUUUAUUUUAGUUUGCAAAGAUUUUCAAAAACAGACAGCAUCUGGGUUCUAUUAACAACAACAUGCAUGCAUUUUAAACAACAACAAUUUAAGAAUACUUC